rnacentral:rRNA from 1 species
UACAGAGGUCUCGAGCGUUGUUCGGAUUCAUUGGGCGUAAAGGGUGCGUAGGUGGCGCGCUAAGUCAGGUGUGAAAUUUCGGAGCUUAACUCCGAAACUGCAUUUGAUACUGGCGUGCUUGAGGACUGGAGAGGAGACUGGAAUUCAUGGUGUAGCAGUGAAAUGACGUAGAGAUCAUGAGGAAGACCAGUGGCGAAGGCGGGUCUCUGGACAGUUCCUGACGCUGAGGCGCGAAGGCCAGGGGAGCAAACGGG